rnacentral:lncRNA from 1 species
AGCAUAACUUCGGGUCCAGACUGGGCUGUCAGGCUUUUCCAGGAAGGAUCCAGGAACCCCUUAACUAAUCCAGGCAGUGACCUGGGAGAACUCGGGAGAACCCGUGGCAGCCCCAAGCAUCCAGGAUGUUCACUCUGACCAAAGCCUUGGAAAAGGCUCUUCUCCAGCAUUUCAUAUACAUGAAGGUGAACAUCACCUAUGCCAUCAACAAGCCAUUCCCCUUCUUCGAAGCGCUCCGGGACAAAUCCUUCAUCACUGAGAGAAUGUACAAGGAAUCUCUGGAAGCCUGUCAAAAUCUGGUCCCUCUGUCCAAAGUGGUGCACAAUAUUCUCACCAGUCUGGAGCAGACUUUCCACCCGUCAGUGCUGCUGACGUUGUUCAGCAAGGUCAACCUCCGGGAAUACCCCAGCCUGGUGGCAAUUUUCAGAAGCUUCAGAAACGUGUCCUCCAGAGAUCACCCGAGAAAAGAUAAGGAAGACUCUCGAGAGAUGCCCCACAGUCCCUCAGGACCCGAGUCAGUGGUAAAAGAUGACUCUCCAGCAGCAAAUGACCUGGCAAUGGCCCAGGAAGUACCCUGCACACCUGCAAACAAGAAAGCAAGAAGAAAAAAACAUCCGAACUGGUCAAAUUCCAAAAGAAGACAGCAGAAAAAAAAGCCCCGUCAAGAUGAGAUGAUGGGAGUGGCCUCACCUGGACAUGGAGUUCAAGAGAAGCUCAAGGCGGUGAGCAGGAAGACUUUGUGGAAAGAUGACUCAUCUACGAACGUGAAGGAGGUGACCAAGACACUGAGAGCAAGGAUGAGGUUUGCCCAGACAUCCAAUUCACAAGAGAUCAGCAAAGAGGCAUCAAAAACAAGUGGUAGAAAGAGGCCCAGCACAGCACGAAGAACCACACAAGGUGCAUCGAGGGUCUAAUGGGUGAAGAAUUCCUGAAGUCCCAAUGCCUUCGAUUCAGCCUGGUCCCCACUUUGCCACAGAUUACUCAAGUUGCCAUCUACCAUCCUCUUAUUGAUCCAUCUUGCGCUGCCAUCCAGUGCAAUUGCUCAUCCAUUCAUCUGGACCCAGUCUUGCCUUUUAGACUCUGCAGUGGAACUCAACUCUACAGCUCAACCAUGACCCUGCAGUCAAAUCCAACCAUGACUUCAGUGCCUGUCCAGAGGGCUCAGGGUCCUUUGUUAUCUCACCCUACAGACUCCUAUGACUUUCCAGCUGUCUCCCAACUCUGGCUUGUCAAGUGUUUGCCACCUUAACUCUUGGUAGCUAGCCUGUAAUAUAUAGAUAUAGGGAUAGAGGUAGAUAGAGACAUGUUACAUAUGACUUAUGUUGUUAGUAAGUUAUAAACUUAUUUUUAAUGUAUCAGCUAAGAGUUAGUAAUUAUGUUGGAAUGGCCUGUUUGCCUUGGCCAGGGUCAUUAAGGAAAGCAGAGCUAUCUGACAGAUGACUACCAGUGAAACCACUGCUUGUGGAUUUGUUAUUAUUCAAUAAAAUGUUUUAGAAAGACA